rnacentral:rRNA from 1 species
GUGGGGAAUAUUGCACAAUGGGCGCAAGCCUGAUGCAGCCAUGCCGCGUGUGUGAAGAAGGCCUUCGGGUUGUAAAGCACUUUCAGCGGGGAGGAAGGCGAUAAGGUUAAUAACCUUGUCGAUUGACGUUACCCGCAGAAGAAGCACCGGCUAACUCCGUGCCAGCAACCGCGGUAAUACGGAGGGUGCAAGCGUUAAUCGGAAUUACUGGGCGUAAAGCGCACGCAGGCGGUCUGUCAAGUCGGAUGUGAAAUCCCCGGGCUCAACCUGGGAACUGCAUUCGAAACUGGCAGGCUAGAGUCUUGUAGAGGGGGGUGGAAUUCCAGGUGUAGCGGUGAAAUGCGUAGAGAUCUGGAGGAAUACCGGUGGCGAAGGCGGCCCCCUGGACAAAGACUGACGCUCAGGUGCGAAAGCGUGGGGAGCAAACAGGAUUAGAUACCCGGGUAGUCC